GCCAUCUUAGCUUAGUGGUAGAGUGCGUGGCUUUUAACCACUUGGUCGUGAGUUCGAUCUCGACAGAUGUUG
rnacentral:tRNA from 1 species